rnacentral:rRNA from 1 species
GACGAACGCUGGCGGCGUGCUUAACACAUGCAGUCGAACGGUGAAGCGCCUUCCUUUUUGGUGGGUGUGGAUGAGUGGCGAACGGGUGAGUAACACGUGAGUAACCUGCCCCCUUCUUCUGGAUAACCGCAUGAAAGUGUGGCUAAUACGGGAUAUUCUGGGUCUGUCGCAUGAUGGGUCUGGGAAAGAUAUUGUUUCGGUGGGGGAUGGGCUCGCGGCCUAUCAGCUUGUUGGUGGGGUGAUGGCCUACCAAGGCGGUGACGGGUAGCCGGCCUGAGAGGGUGGACGGUCACACUGGGACUGAGACACGGCCCAGACUCCUACGGGAGGCAGCAGUGGGGAAUAUUGCACAAUGGGCGCAAGCCUGAUGCAGCGACGCCGCGUGAGGGAUGGAGGCCUUCGGGUUGUGAACCUCUUUCGCCAGUGAAGCAGGCCUGCCUCGUUUGUGGGUGGGUUGACGGUAGCUGGAUAAGAAGCGCCGGCUAACUACGUG